rnacentral:rRNA from 1 species
UACGGAGGGUGCAAACGUUGCUCGGAAUCAUUGGGCGUAAAGCGCACGUAGGCGGCCCGUUAAGUCGGAUGUGAAAGCCCAGGGCUCAACCCUGGAAGUGCAUUCGAUACUGGCAGGCUUGAAUAUGGAAGAGGGUCGCGGAAUUCCCGGUGUAGAGGUGAAAUUCGUAGAUAUCGGGAGGAACACCAGUGGCGAAGGCGGCGACCUGGGCCAAUGACUGACGCUGAGGCGCGAAAGCUAGGGGAGCGAAAGGG